UACGAAGGGGGCUAGCGUUGCUCGGAAUUACUGGGCGUAAAGGGCGCGUAGGCGGACAGUUUAGUCAGAGGUAAAAGCCCAGGGCUCAACCUUGGAACUGCCUUUGAUACUGACUGUCUUGAGUUCGGGAGAGGUGAGUGGAAUGCCGAGUGUAGAGGUGAAAUUCGUAGAUAUUCGGCGGAACACCAGUGGCGAAGGCGACUCACUGGCCCGAUACUGACGCUGAGGCGCGAAAGCGUGGGGAGCGAACAGG
rnacentral:rRNA from 1 species